UACGUAGGGUGCGAGCGUUAAUCGGAAUUACUGGGCGUAAAGCGUGCGUAGGCGGUUCCUCAAGUCCGUUGUGAAAGCCCCGGGCUCAACCUGGGAAUGGCAGUGGAAACUAGGGGACUGGAAUCUGGCAGAGGGGGGUGGAAUGCCGCGUGUAGCAGUGAAAUGCGUAGAGAUGCGGCGGAACACCGAUGGCGAAGGCAGCCCCCGGGGCUGAGAUUGACGCUCAGGCACGAAAGCGUGGGGAGCAAACAGG
rnacentral:rRNA from 1 species